rnacentral:rRNA from 1 species
GGUGCCUAUACUGCAAGUCGAACGAACUUCCGUUAAUUGAUUAUGACGUACUUGUACUGAUUGAGAUUUUAACACGAAGUGAGUGGCGAACGGGUGAGUAACACGUGGGUAACCUGCCCAGAAGUAGGGGAUAACACCUGGAAACAGAUGCUAAUACCGUAUAACAGAGAAAACCGCAUGGUUUUCUUUUAAAAGAUGGCUCUGCUAUCACUUCUGGAUGGACCCGCGGCGUAUUAGCUAGUUGGUGAGGUAAAGGCUCACCAAGGCAGUGAUACGUAGCCAACCUGAGAGGGUAAUCGGCCACAUUGGGACUGAAACACGGCCCAAACUCCUACGGGAGGCAGCAGUAGGGAAUCUUCCACAAUGGACGCAAGUCUGAUGGAGCAACGCCGCGUGAGUGAAGAAGGGUUUCGGCUCGUAAAGCUCUGUUGUUAAAAAAAAAACGUGGGUAAGAGUAACUGUUUACCCAGUGACCGUUUUUAACCAAAAAAGCCACGGCUAACUACUUGCCAGCACCCGCGGUAAUCCUAGGUGGNAAGCGUUAUCCGGAUUUUUUUGGGCGUUAAAGAGAGCGCAGGGGGGCUUUUUUAGUCUAAUGCGAAAAGCCUUUCCGCUCCACCCCAAAAAAGGGCAUUGAAAACUGGGAAAAUUUGAGUGCAAAAAAAAAACAGUGGGAACCCCCCUUGUGGUAGCGGGGGAAUAGCGGAAAAAAAUUUGGGAAAAAACACCCCCUGGGGCAAAGGGGGUUGUCUUGGUCUGGCAACUC